GGGGGCGACUGGCUUCGACGGGUAAUGAAAAUCUAUUGACUGCAUGUGGAGGAUACUCUAUCACCUCCUAAAUCAUUUAGAGUAACACUAUAAGUGCCGAUUACGGUUACGCAGCUGCUGCUUAAUUGCCAGUAGCCGUCUCUUUAAGGGUGUGCUCGUAGCUUUUAUAUGAGAUGUCAUUAAUAUGAGCUAGUUUUAAUAAAUCCUGAGUUAUUAAAAUGAAAACUUAUCAGGAUCGUUUAAUUGUAUUACGUCUAUUUAAGACAAUUAAAUUAGAUUAAAGAAUAGUCUAAACAUGUAGAGGUUAACGGUGAUCUUAUUCGGACCGCGGUUCAAUUCCGCGCGCCUCCACAA
rnacentral:tmRNA from 1 species